AUGAGCACUUGCAUGGUCAAGGACACUGAACUGAUAGAUGUCCAUCCCCUCCAGCUCCACUUCUCUUUCCGGCCGAAUAAGAUUAUCUCCUGCCCAUUUCAUGUAACUAACAACACCGAUGAUCAGCAUGUGUCUGUUAGGUGUGUCCCAAGACUCCCAGGGGCAGACCGUUAUUACGCAUAUCUGGGACACGUAUGCAGUGUUGUGCCACCAAGGUCCACACACACCAUCGUUGUAACGAUGAGACAACUACAGCAGCCGCCGGACAACAUGGACAUGCUUGACAUAGUCGUAGAGACUAUCCUAGGGAAAGAUUAUCAGUCUGAGACGAAUUUUAAGGAUGCUAGAAAGGAAAACAGCCGUGGAUUUCGUGAGGUGACCCUAAAGGCCGUCUGUGCAACAAUGUGUGAGAAGACGACAUCUGAGGUCAUAUUUCGUUGUGAUUAUAACGGUAUGCUAGAGUCAAUGGAUGUGCACCCUACAGAGCCUUGGAUUUUGGCAGCCUAUAAGGCACGGCUUGUCAUUUGGAACUACAAGACCCAGGCAAAAAUGAUGGAGCGUGAAUUCUACCCUGGGUUGGCUCAUUCCCUCAGAAGGCUUAGCGCCUCCUACGAUGGGUACGUUACUUCCGUCAGGUUCAUUGUGCAGUCGAAGGAGCAAUUGUUCGUGGUGGGUGAUACCGACGGGUACAUCCACGUGCAUGACUCUAUGACAAUGAAGAGAGUCAAGGAAUUCAAAGCUCACGGCGGUUGGGUCACAUCAUUCGCCGUUCAGCCGACCCAACCGUUUGUACUGUCGGCAUCUCACGACCAACAGAUCAAGCUUUGGAACUGGGAGAAGGGCUGGGUGUGCAUUCGGACAUUCACUGGGCACUCGGACUGGGUGAGGCAAGUCAAGUUUAAUCCGCAUGAUGCCAACACUUUUGCCAGUGCUUCCUGGGACGGCACAGUGAAGAUCUGGAGAAUUUUUUCUCCCACUCAUUUCACCAGCCUCAACUGUGAAGACAAACUGCUGCGCUGUUUUGAUUACUAUCCCACGGGUGGUGAUCAGCAGCACUACAUGGUUACAGGAUCAUACCGUGGGACGGCACGGAUCUGGGAUAUGCGAACACAGACAUGCAUCCAUGAAAUCAAGGGGCUCGGACAAUACUGUAUGGUUGGUGUGAUCGAUUGCCACCCAGAUCGUCCAGCAGUGUUGAUUACCGCGUCAAAGGGCGAUGGUGUUUAUCUCCACGACUCCAGAACCUACAGGUGUGAAAGAAUGGUUAAUUUCGGUCUCGGCGAGGUUGUAUGUUUUGCAUACAUCAAGGCCACAAGAAGCCUCGCCAUUGGACAUAAGUACGGAGUUGCAAUCGUGGAAAUCGAUAGAUUUUCUAAGGAAGUCCCGCCACCUGCAAGGUAA
rnacentral:rRNA from 1 species